UACGUAGGGUGUGAGCGUUAAUCGGAAUUACUGGGCGUAAAGCGUGCGCAGGCGAUUUUGUAAGCCAGGUGUGAAAUCCCCGGGCUCAACCUGGGAAUGGCAUUUGGGACUGCAAGGCUGGAGUGCGGCAGAGGAGACUGGAAUUCCUGGUGUAGCAGUGAAAUGCGUAGAUAUCAGGAGGAAUACCGAUGGCGAAGGCAGGUCUCUGGGCUGACACUGACGCUCAUGCACGAAAGCGUGGGGAGCAAACAGG
rnacentral:rRNA from 1 species